CCGGGGCUUAGUGCCGGAGCUAACGCAAUAAGCACUCCGCCUGGGGAGUACGACCGCAAGGUUGAAACUCAAAGGAAUUGACGGGGGCCCGCACAAGCGGUGGAGCAUGUGGUUUAAUUCGAAGCAACGCGAAGAACCUUACCAGGUCUUGACAUCCCGAUGCUAUUCUUAGAGAUAGGAAGUUACUUCGGUACAUCGGAGACAGGUGGUGCAUGGUUGUCGUCAGCUCGUGUCGUGAGAUGUUGGGUUAAGUCCCGCAACGAGCGCAACCCUUAUUGUUAGUUGCCAUCAUUAAGUUGGGCACUCUAGCGAGACUGCCGGUAAUAAACCGGAGGAAGGUGGGGAUGACGUCAAAUCAUCAUGCCCCUUAUGACCUGGGCUACACACGUGCUACAAUGGUCGGUACAACGAGUUGCGAGCCGGUGACGGCAAGCUAAUCUCUGAAAGCCGAUCUCAGUUCGGAUUGGAGGCUGCAACUCGCCUCCAUGAAGUCGGAAUCGCUAGUAAUCGCGGAUCAGCACGCCGCGGUGAAUACGUUCCCGGGCCUUGUACACACCGCCCGUCACACCACGAGAGUUUGUAACACCCGAAGUCGGUGAGGUANCCUUUUAGGG
rnacentral:rRNA from 1 species